rnacentral:rRNA from 1 species
CAGCAGCCGCGGUAAUACGGAGGGUGCAAGCGUUAUCCGGAUUUAUUGGGUUUAAAGGGUCCGUAGGCGGACUUAUAAGUCAGUGGUGAAAGCCUGUCGCUUAACGAUAGAACUGCCAUUGAUACUGUGAGUCUUGAGUAUAUUUGAGGUAGCUGGAAUAAGUAGUGUAGCGGUGAAAUGCAUAGAUAUUACUUAGAACACCAAUUGCGAAGGCAGGUUACCAAGAUAUAACUGACGCUGAGGGACGAAAGCGUGGGUAGCGAACAGGAUUAGAUACCCCAGUAGUCCCUGUCUCUUAUAC